rnacentral:rRNA from 1 species
AUUGAACGCUGGCGGCAUGCCUUACACAUGCAAGUCGAACGGCAGCACGGGUGCUUGCACCUGGUGGCGAGUGGCGAACGGGUGAGUAAUACAUCGGAACAUGUCCUGUAGUGGGGGAUAGCCCGGCGAAAGCCGGAUUAAUACCGCAUACGAUCUACGGAUGAAAGCGGGGGACCUUCGGGCCUCGCGCUAUAGGGUUGGCCGAUGGCUGAUUAGCUAGUUGGUGGGGUAAAGGCCUACCAAGGCGACGAUCAGUAGCUGGUCUGAGAGGACGACCAGCCACACUGGGACUGAGACACGGCCCAGACUCCUACGGGAGGCAGCAGUGGGGAAUUUUGGACAAUGGGCGAAAGCCUGAUCCAGCAAUGCCGCGUGUGUGAAGAAGGCCUUCGGGUUGUAAAGCACUUUUGUCCGGAAAGAAAUCCUUGGCCUUAAUACGGUCGGGGGAUGACGGUACCGGAAGAAUAAGCACCGGCUAACUACGUG